rnacentral:rRNA from 1 species
AGCGAACGCUGGCGGCAGGCUUAACACAUGCAAGUCGAACGGUCCUUCGGGAUAGUGGCGGACGGGUGAGUAACACGUGGGAACGUGCCCUUAGGUUCGGAACAACACAGGGAAACUUGUGCUAAUACCGGAUGUGCCCUUCGGGGGAAAGAUUUAUCGCCUUUGGAGCGGCCCGCGUCUGAUUAGCUAGUUGGUGAGGUAAAGGCUCACCAAGGCGACGAUCAGUAGCUGGUCUGAGAGGAUGGCCAGCCACAUUGGGACUGAGACACGGCCCAAACUCCUACGGGAGGCAGCAGUGGGGAAUCUUGCGCAAUGGGCGAAAGCCUGACGCAGCCAUGCCGCGUGGAUGAUGAAGGUCUUAGGAUUGUAAAAUCCUUUCAGCGGGGACGAUAAUGACGGUACCCGCAGAAGAAGCCCCGGCUAACUUCGUGCCAGCCGCCGCCGUAA